UUGCUCACUUCAGCAGCACAUAUACUAAAAUUGGAACCAUACAGAGAAGAUUAACAUGGUCCCUGUGCAAGGAUGACACGCAAAUUCAUGAAGCAUUCCUUAAAAUA
ensembl:snRNA U6 U6 spliceosomal RNA